UUUAGCAGUUCGUGGGUGUCAAUGAUUUCUUGAGGCAUGCUCUGUCAUGAAGAGACAUGAACAUGUAAGACCAAGAAGUGAUGGUGAAGAAAAACAUAGAAAUCAUUCAAGAAUACUUUCAAUUCCCAUCCUCCAACACCCAUCCAAUGUAAGUGACAUUAUUAACAUGUUGAUUCAUAUCCAAAUCUGCUAUUCUUGGCUGCAGAUUCAAAAUCAUGCUUACAAGUCAGGAUAAAAUGAUAAAACUGAAUGAACCUUAAUAAAUUGGAAUGAAAAUUGUGAUGAACACAUAGCUUACCACAAGUCCUAAUUUGGAAUAUUAAGCAGGAUCUUCUAGUUCUGAAAUCUUUUUCAAGCUGCGAUUAUUAUCCUCUGGAAACGCUAAUCUGUGAACACCGCCAAUCAAUCAAAAUGAGACAGAAUGCAGUCAAUUAUCCACAUAUUCUAUACAAUCAUGGCAAUCUCCUGGAAAAUUG
rnacentral:lncRNA from 1 species